GCCAUCUUAGGCAUCGCCUCAUAGAAGAACUACAUCUUCCAGAACCCUCGCGCCCUGCGUCGUGCUGGCACUUUUACCGGCCUGGCCUUAGAGCGGAGCCUGUAGCCGGGCGCCAUCUUUGACGCUGGCACUCUUGGUUUUCUGCUGGUGCUGCUGCUGGGAGGACGACGGACGGCAGCGACCAAGGAAGAAGAAAGACGUGGCAGCAAGCGGGAGUCGGGGAUAGUGUCAACGGUUCGGUAAAGUUUCUGUUCUCUGGGUCCCACUACUUUGGAGCUUGUCUCAAACUCCACAUACAGAAAGCCACCGACCUUAUUCCGGAUUGGUGAAACCGUAAUGAAGAACACCCCUAAACUCCCAUAAUCGGUGCGGAUUCCUAUGGGGAAGGCCUAUAUUGUUGACAUCUUCCAGGCCUUGGUUCUGGACCUUGAGAAGGAGGCUGUGGAACUAGAGAUAGCGAUGCUUUUUAGGAUUUGGGGAUAUUCCCUGCCCAAAAAAUUCCUGGAAAAUUGA
rnacentral:lncRNA from 1 species